rnacentral:rRNA from 1 species
AGUGAACGCUGGCGGCAGGCCUAACACAUGCAAGUCGAGCGGCAGCGGGUCCCCGCGAGGGGAUGCCGGCGAGCGGCGGACGGGUGAGGAACACAUCGGAAUCUGCCUGGUUGUGGGGGAUAACGUAGGGAAACUUACGCUAAUACCGCAUGCGACCCUGAGUCGACGGACUUGGGGUGAAAGUGAGGGACCUUCGGGCCUCACGCGACCAGAUGAGCCGAUGUCGGAUAGCUAGUUGGCGGGGUAACGGCCCGCCAAGGCGACGAUCCGUAGCUGGUCUGAGAGGAUGAUCAGCCACAC